rnacentral:misc_RNA from 1 species
AAGUCGUAACAAGGUUUCCGUAGGUGAACCUGCGGAAGGAUCAUUAAUGAAUUUGGAGAAUUGAUGCUGGCCUUUGUGCAUGUGCUCGUUCUCUUUAAUCCAUACACACCUGUGCACUUACUGUGGGCUUCAGAUCGCGAGGCAGGCUCUUUACCGGGCUUGCGGAGCGCAUCUGUGCCUGCGUUUAUCACAAACUCUAUAAAGUAACAGAAUGUGUAUUGCGAUGUAACGCAUCUAUAUACAACUUUCAGCAACGGAUCUCUUGGCUCUC